AUGGGACUGACAUCCCCCGACGCUCCGGGGACCCCGGCCACCCCUCCCUGCGAGGCUGUGGAACGGCCUUCGGCAGAAACCAAGUCCUGCGCCGGCCCCAGCCCGGGCUCCCCGGGAGCGAAGUUCCCCACCGCGGCCCCUCCCCGGCCUCCCGGAUGGCAGGGCCUUGGCCCGGGGGAGGCGGAGCGAGGGCCCCACCAGGCUGGCUCGACGCCCCUUGGUUCCCCUGGGUCCCGGGAUCAGGAUUCGCCAGGAGCCCUGGCCGGAGCCUGUGCGGGUGUCCCCAGUGCACGGGCGGCCCACGUCGGGGACACGGGUUGGGAGGCACGGCCGGGGCGCAGCUCUGAACCAGAAGCCACCGCCACCCCGUCUCCCCCGCAGGCAGCCGAGCAGACGGGGCCCCACUGGGUGACCCGGGUCCCACGGGCGCGGUGGGCCAGGCCCGGCCUGGGGAGGCCUAAGAGACCGGCAGAAACCUCAGGACUCGGCUCCUUGCAGGGGGGGGCCCCUGGAGCCCAUCCUCAGGCCUCAGCCUCGGGGGCCCCCACCCCGCGUAGAGCAGGGGGAAGGAGAAGCAGCCCGCAGGCUGCCCCUCGGGGAACCCGCGUCCCAGGCUCGUGUGCACCUUGUUCUGAGGGCCGAGGGCCGGGGCAGAGGCUCCGGGCUCGGGGAGCUGGGGUCAGCGGGGGCCGGGGGCCGUCCCCCCCGCAGGUGAUGGGACAAGGGGCGGGCUCUGUUGUUCGCCUGCGGUCGCAGCAGGAGCAGAAGAGGGGUGCGCCCCUCCCACGGCCCCCGCCCGCACCUGCCGUGAUGCCAGCGCAUCACUCAGGGCUGCAGUCCUGGCAGUGUCCCCACGGGCCGCCUCGAUGCUCCCACCCAUUGCUCCCCCCCCCCAUGCAAAACCCCUUUUGGCGGAGCCAGGGGCACAGAAGAGCCCCGGCAGAGGGCGCGCAUGGAGGGCGAGGCGUGGGCCGUGUCUCCCCGGGGGUUCCGUCCCCCUCGGCCCGGAGCCGAGAAGCAGCAGUUCCCCACCCACCACCCGAGGGCUGGGGGCUCUGGCCACUGGGCUGA
rnacentral:lncRNA from 1 species